rnacentral:tRNA from 1 species
GGCAAUAAAGCAUAGUGGUUAAGAGCAUGGAUUCUAGAACCAGAUGGUCUGGGUUCAAAUCCCAGCUCUACCA